rnacentral:rRNA from 1 species
AUUGAACGCUGGCGGCAUGCCUUACACAUGCAAGUCGAACGGCAGCACGGGAGCUUGCUCCUGGUGGCGAGUGGCGAACGGGUGAGUAAUACAUCGGAACGUACCCAGUAGUGGGGGAUAACGCACCGAAAGGUGCGCUAAUACCGCAUACGACCUACGGGCGAAAGCGGGGGACCGCAAGGCCUCGCGCUAUUGGAGCGGCCGGUGUCUGAUUAGCUAGUUGGCGGGGGAAAGGCCCACCAAGGCGACGAUCAGUAGCUGGUCUGAGAGGACGAUCAGCCACACUGGGACUGAGACACGGCCCAGACUCCUACGGGAGGCAGCAGUGGGGAAUUUUGGACAAUGGGGGCAACCCUGAUCCAGCAAUGCCGCGUGUGCGAAGAAGGCCGUCGGGUUGUAAAGCACUUUUGUCAGGGAAGAAAUCUUUCAGGCUAAUACCCUUGGAAGGAUGACGGUACCUGAAGAAUAAGCACCGGCUAACUACGUGCCAGCCGCCGCAGUAA